UGCUAUUGGCAUUGUGCUUAUUCACCAUCGAGCUAGAGCAAACUCUUGUCACUUCCUUUCUGCUGCCAAUACCUUCCUCGUCCAUCACCUAGUUCUCAUCGAACAACCACUAGGGACCUAAGGUUGGGGUACCAGGGUUGAGGAGAACGGGACCCGUUAGGCCACCACUUGGUUAAGUUUUGGCCCUUAGGUGUCGGGGCGAGAGGGAGUGGGGAUAUAUUGGGCCCCACUCAGCUAGAAUUUGACCCUUG
rnacentral:lncRNA from 1 species